AUACUUACCUGGCAGGGGAGAUACCAUGAUCACGAAGGUGGUUUUCCCAGGGCGAGGCUUAUCCAUUGCACUCCGGAUGUGCUGACCCCU
rnacentral:snRNA from 1 species